rnacentral:rRNA from 1 species
CCUACGGGAGGCAGCAGUGAGGAAUAUUGGUCAAUGGGCGAGAGCCUGAACCAGCCAAGUCGCGUGAAGGAUGACGGCCCUACGGGUUGUAAACUUCUUUUGUCAGGGAGCAAUUGGGUCCACGCGUGGGCUUAGCGAGAGUACCUGAAGAAAAAGCAUCGGCUAACUCCGUGCCAGCAGCCGCGGUAAUACGGAGGAUGCGAGCGUUAUCCGGAUUUAUUGGGUUUAAAGGGUGCGUAGGCGGAAUAUCAAGUCAGCGGUAAAAAUUCGGGGCUCAACCCCGUCGUGCCGUUGAAACUGAUGUUCUGGAGUGGGCGAGAAGUAUGCGGAAUGCGUGGUGUAGCGGUGAAAUGCAGAGAUAUCACGCAGAACUACGAUUGCGAAGGCAGCAUACCGGCGCCCAACUGACGCUGAAGCACGAAAGCGUGGGUAUCGAACAGGAUUAGAUACCCGUGUAGUC